CACGGGGGGAGCAAGCGUUGUUCGGAAUCACUGGGCGUAAAGGGAGUCUAGGCGGUCAGGUAAGUAAGGCGUGAAAUACCUCGGCUCACCCGAGGAGCGGCGUCUUAUACUGCUUGGCUUGAGUAUGGGAGAGGAUGUGGGAAUUCCUGGUGUAGCGGUGAAAUGCGUAGAUAUCAGGAGGAACACCGGUGGCGAAGGCGCACAUCUGGCCCAAUACUGACGCUGAAGCUCGAAAGCUAGGGGAGCAAACGGG
rnacentral:rRNA from 1 species